rnacentral:rRNA from 1 species
UUUGGUGGCGAUAGCGAAGAGGUCACACCCGUUCCCAUACCGAACACGGAAGUUAAGCUCUUCAGCGCCGAUGGUAGUUGGGGGUUUCCCCCUGUGCGCGUAGGACGCCGCCAAGC